GCAGCCUGAUCCAGCCAUGCCGCGUGGGUGAAGAAGGCCUUCGGGUUGUAAAGCCCUUUUGUUGGGAAAGAAAAGCAGUCGGUUAAUACCCGAUUGUUCUGACGGUACCCAAAGAAUAAGCACCGGCUAACUUCGUGCCAGCAGCCGCGGUAAUACGAAGGGUGCAAGCGUUACUCGGAAUUACUGGGCGUAAAGCGUGCGUAGGUGGUGGUUUAAGUCUGUUGUGAAAGCCCUGGGCUCAACCUGGGAAUUGCAGUGGAUACUGGGUCACUAGAGUGUGGUAGAGGGUAGCGGAAUUCCCGGUGUAGCAGUGAAAUGCGUAGAGAUCGGGAGGAACAUCCGUGGCGAAGGCGGCUACCUGGACCAACACUGACACUGAGGCACGAAAGCGUGGGGAGCAAACAGGAUUAGAUACCCUGGUAGUCCACGCCCUAAACGAUGCGAACUGGAUGUUGGGUGCAAUUUGGCACGCAGUAUCGAAGCUAACGCGUUAAGUUCGCCGCCUGGGGAGUACGGUCGCAAGACUGAAACUCAAAGGAAUUGACGGGGGCCCGCACAAGCGGUGGAGUAUGUGGUUUAAUUCGAUGCAACGCGAAGAACCUUACCUGGUCUUGACAUCCACGGAACUUUCCAGA
rnacentral:rRNA from 2 species